UCACGAGAGAACAGAGGAAGUGGAAAGGAGAAACUGUCAAAAGAUAUUUCAACAAAAGUUCCAGGACACACCCAGGAAACAGACCCACACCAACUCAUCUUAUGAAAAUGAAGACAAUUAGGGAAAGAAAGCCCUCUGUAAGGUAGGGUGGGAAAUGUCACACACAGAAGAGAAAUUAGAGCCAUUCUGAGUUUGCUAAACAACAGUAAUGGAGCCAGCGAAGUUCUUAAGAAAAAUUAACUCCUAUCUAUAAUCCGCUAUGAGUCAAACUAUCAGUCAAGAGGAAAGGUAGAACAAAGGCAUCUUACAUCAGCAAGACUUGAAAAUCGUUUACCUCCCACAUAUCCGUUCCUCAGGCAACUGUGGCGUGCCGCACCGGAUGACAGGUCCAAUAAAGGCAACAAUAAAUACUUGACUGCUCCGAAGCUGAACCGAGGGGAUGCUAUGCUCCUUUGCUUCAUUACAGAUCCCCUCGUUACGGCAUCAGCUGAGCGCCGCCCAGCUCUCCUGUGAAGAUUUAUCAUGUGUGUGGUGGCCACUUUGAAUGGAGAGAUUUCUGUAUUUGCAAUGUGCACGUGUUGGGAGGCACAUAGGAGCAAGAUCAUACACCUUGGAACUACAAUACCAACCAGUCUAGAUUAUGCACCUCUCCAGCUGAACGGAAUCCAUAUUCUGCUAGUCACUGAAGACAGAACGUCAGGGUGUUUUGUUUUACACCCUUGGAAGGGAAGGAUGUUGUAAAGUGCUCAGAACACAUCGAGUAUUUAAAAA